rnacentral:rRNA from 1 species
GAUGAACGCUAGCUACAGGCUUAACACAUGCAAGUCGAGGGACCGGCGCACGGGUGAGGAACGCGUAUCCAACCUGCCCUUCACCACGGGAUAACCCGGCGAAAGGCGGACUAAUACCGUAUGGUGAAGGCUCGGGAUGCGUCCGAUUCGCUUGACGGCGGGGUAACGGCCCACCGUGGCUACGAGGGGGAGGGGUUCUGAGAGGAAGGUCCCCCACACUGGAAUUGGGACACGGUCCAGACUCCUACGGGAGGCAGCAGUGAGGAAUAUUGGUCAAUGGGCGUAAGCCUGAACCAGCCAAGUAGCGUGCAGGACGACGGCCUAUGGGUUGUAAACUGCUUUUAUGCGGGGAUAGGUACCGCAUGAAUAAGGACCGGCUAAUUCCGUGCCAGCAGCCGCGGUAAUAC